rnacentral:tRNA from 1 species
GCCUGGGUGGCUCAGUCGGUUGAGCAUCCGACUUCAGCUCAGGUCAUGAUCUCGCAGUCUGUGAGUUCGAGCCCCGCAUCAGGCU